UUGCAAUGAUGGGAAUAAUUUUUCGUCAACAGUAUAUCACGUUCUGCGUGAAUGGUGAGAGAUUCUGUCUGAGCAA
ensembl:snoRNA